rnacentral:rRNA from 1 species
UACGUAGGGUCCGAGCGUUAAUCGGAAUUACUGGGCGUAAAGCGUGCGCAGGCGGUUUUGUAAGACCGAUGUGAAAUCCCCGGGCUUAACCUGGGAACUGCAUUGGUGACUGCAAGGCUAGAGUGCGUCAGAGGGAGGUGGAAUUCCGCGUGUAGCAGUGAAAUGCGUAGAGAUGCGGAGGAACACCGAUGGCGAAGGCAGCCUCCUGGGAUGACACUGACGCUCAUGCACGAAAGCGUGGGGAGCAAACAGG